rnacentral:misc_RNA from 1 species
AAGUCGUAACAAGGUCUCCGUUGGUGAACCAGCGGAGGGAUCAUUACCGAGUUAUUACUCCAAACCCUUUGUGAACCUUACCAUUUUGUUGCUCGGCGUACCGCGGGCCGCGGCUUCGGCCCGUCCCGCAGCGCGCCAGAGGACCCAACUCUUCAAUUUAUAGCGUACCUUCUGAUUUACAAAACAAACAAGUUAAAACUUUCAACAACGGAUCUCUUGGUUCUG